rnacentral:rRNA from 1 species
CAAUAGCGUAUAUUUAAGUUGUUGCAGUUAAAAAGCUCGUAGUUGGAUUUCGGGUGGGACGCAGCGGUCUCGCAUUGCGUUUGUACUGCUGCAGCCCUCCUUCUUGCCGGGGGCGGCCUCUCGGACUUCACUGUCUGGGGGUCAGAAUCGGCGAUGUUACUUUGAGUAAAUUAGAGUGUUCAAAGCAAGCUUACGCUCUGAAUAUAAUAGCAUGGGAUAACACGACAGGACUCUGGCCUAUCGUGUUGGUCUAUAGGACCAGAGUAAUGAUUAAGAGGGACAGUCGGGGGCAUUCGUAUUCCGUUGUCAGAGGUGAAAUUCUUGGAUUUACGGAAGACGAACAUCUGCGAAAGCAUUCGCCAAGGAUGUUUUCAUUGA